CUGGCACCCAACCUAAGCACUGCCACUGCCGGUAGCGGCUGUUUAAGCUAUACUACACAUGGCAAAGGGGGUUUGUCGCCUUUGGGGGGCUGUGCAGUGCCCCCAGAGUGAAUCAGGAGGUUCUACAGUU